GGGGAGUGAUGCUCAGCGUGAGGUAAUACAGUAGGGGGAGUGCUGAGGUAAUACAGUAGGGGAGUGCUGCUCAGCGUGAGGUAAUACAGUAGGGGGAGUGCUGCUCAGCGUGAGGUAAUACAGUAGGGGGAGUGCUGCUCAGCGUGAGGUAAUACAGUCGGGGGAGUGCUGAGGUAAUACAGUAGGGGGAGUGCUGCUCAGCGUGAGGUAAUAAAGUAGAGGGAGUGCUGCUCAGCGUGAGGUAAUACAAUAGGGGGAGUGCUGCUCAGUGUGAGGUAAUACAGUAGGGGAAGUGCUGCUCAGUGUGAGGUAAUACAGUAGGGGAAGUGCUGCUCAGUGUGAGGUAAUACAGUAGAGGG
ensembl:lncRNA